CGGGACGGGUGAGUAAUGUCUGGGAAACUGCCUGAUGGAGGGGGAUAACUACUGGAAACGGUAGCUAAUACCGCAUAACGUCGCAAGACCAAAGAGGGGACCUUAGGCCUCUUGCCAUCGGAUGUGCCCAGAUGGGAUUAGCUAGUAGGUGGGGUAAAGGCUCACCUAGGCGACGAUCCCUAGCUGGUCUGAGAGGAUGACCAGCCACAUUGGAACUGAGACACGGUCCAG
rnacentral:rRNA from 1 species